AAUGAACGCUGGCGGCAGCCCUAAAACAUGCAAGUAGAACGCCCUAGCAAUAGGGAGUGGCGCACGGGUGAGUAACAUGUGGGAAUACGCCUUUUGGUCCGGAACAACGUUGGGAAACGAACGCUAAUACCGUAUGGCCCCUCCUGGCUACAGAUUUAUCGCCAACAGAUUAGCCCGCACUAGAUUAGCUGGUUGGUAAGGUAAUGGCUUACCAAGGCGACGAUCUAUAGCUGUUCUGAGAGGAAGACAAGCCACACUGGGACUGAGACACGGCCCAGACUCCUACGGGAGGCAGCAGUUAGGAAUAUUGGACAAUGGGCGCAAGCCUGAUCCAGCCACGCCGCGUGAGUGAUGAAGGCCUUCGGGUUGUAAAGCGCUUUAGCCGACGAAUAUAAUGACUGUAGUCGGAGAAUAAGCCCCGGCUAACUUCGUGCCAGCAGCCGCCGUAAAAC
rnacentral:rRNA from 1 species